GACGAACGCUGGCGGCGUGCCUAAUACAUGCAAGUCGAGCGAACAGAUGCGGAGCUUGUUCCUCUGUCGUUAGCCGCGGGCGGGUGAGUCACACGUGUAUACCCUACCUAUCAUUCUGGUAUAACUUCGGGAAACCGGCGCUAAUCCCGUAUAAUCUAUUGCUCCGCAUGGUUCAAUGGUGAAAGUCGGUUUUGCUGUCUGUACUAGCUGCAUCUGCGCCGCUUUAGCUAGUUGGUAAGGUAACGGCUUAUUAAGGCAACGAUGCGUAGACGACGUCAGGGACGGGUAGCCGACCUGGGAGCGUGGACACGGUCCAGACUACUACGGGAGGCCGCAGAAGGGAACCUGCGGCAGUGGGCGAAAGCCUGACGGAGCAGCGGCGCGUGAGUGAUGACGAUCUUCCGAUCGUGAAACUCUCUUAUGAGGGAAGAACAAAUGUGUAAGUAACUAAGCACGUAUUGACGGUACCUAAUAAGAAAGCAACGGCUAACUACGUG
rnacentral:rRNA from 1 species